CAUUUUAGCGCACCAAUGCAACAAUAAAAAUUAUAAUAAUUAUCAGUUUUAGCUUUGAUCCAAACGUCGGUAGCAUUAAUUUUUUCGGCAUUUACAGUUUAUACUAAGUUCAUAUAGUGGUCUCGUGUUUUGUCGCUUAUAAAAAUGCUAAAUAUUAUAAAAACUAUAAAUUUCCUGCAAAAAGACUUAAUCCUACUUAGAUCCGUGAAAUACUCUUCUGCAGUUACCUUCAACAAAUUGUCAACCUCCAUUUUAUGUACAUUAAAUUAUUCUACAUCAAACAAUCGAGAUACAGUGGAUGCCGGGGAAAUAGAGCGACUGAACCGGCUGGAAUGGUGGGACUCAAACAGUGCAUGCCGAAUUUUGCAGAGUUUUAACCCGCUUAGAGUCCAGUUCGUCAGAGAUGCACUUUCUGAAGAUACUAAAGGUAAAGAGUCAUUGGAAGCCUUCGCUGAUAAAAAACUGCUUGAAGUUGGUUGUGGAGGUGGAAUUUUUUCUGAGGCAUUAGCCGAAGCUGGGGCUAAUAUAACAGGAAUUGAUCCAAGCCAGGAAACAAUUGAUGUGGCACAAGAACACAGCGAUUCAAAUCCAGAUAUCGCGCACAACAAACCAACGUAUAUUUGUACAACCAUUGA